GGUUUCACCGUGUUUGCCAGGAUGGUCUCGAUCUCCUGACCUUGUGAUCCACCUGCCUCGGCCUCCCAAAGUGCUGGGAUUACAGCUGUGAGCCCCUGCGCCUGGCGAAUCCUUCUAUUUUCAACAUGUGUGAACAUAAGUCAUAUUAGAAGAAAAACCUCUUGGAUGGUAGAAAGCAAUCUUCAGCCUGAGACCCAUUCCUAGAGAUGAAGAAGAUGAAAAAGUAUUUGAGAAGAGUUGCUUUAGUCCUGGCUAAGAAGUGAUGAUCUCUUUAUAGCUUUAU